rnacentral:lncRNA from 1 species
CCCAUAACCACUACACAGGGUGCCUCUCCUCCAUGGCUGAAGUGUCGCUUUUACAGAUGCCGAAGGUACGAUGCAAAAAAGACUGGAGCCCAUCUUCUGGAUUGAGAGACUGGAGCCCAUCUUCUGGAUUGAGAGGUGCCAGACCAAGAGGGCUGGAGGCCCGGCUGGAGAGGGAAAGCAGGCAUUGCCCCUGAAGGUUCGCAGAGAAGCUAGGAUCUGACCUGGAAGAAAGGAGACAGCCACCUUCUCCAGAACCGCAUUAGCAGCAAUUUCCCGAGAUUCUCACUUUGUGAUCCCAGCUGGAGUGUACUGAUGCGAUCACAGCUCACUGCAGCCUCAAACUCCUGGGCUCAAGUGCUCCUCCCACCUCAGCCUCCCAAGUAACUGGGGCUACAGCCAUGUGCCACCACACUGGGCUAAUUUUUUUAUUUUUCAUACAGAUGGGGUCUCACUACAGAUUGAUGAUGGAUUAUAGGUGAUUGAUUGAUAGAUUAUAUGUUAUAGAUGAUUGAUAGAGAGAAUGGAUUACAG